GCCUCAGAACCGCCCGGAGAGAAGCCGCCUUGGAUGGACAGAGGGACGGAGCAGCAAGCAUCCGGCCUCCCCGGCUUCCCUGCAGCGGUCUCCAACUGCUGUCUGCCCGCUGCCCGCCUGCCUGGCAUCUCUCUCCCGGGUGAAGAUGCCCUAAGUCCAGAGCAGGGUCUGUGGGACAGGCCUAGGAGGUGUGCAUGCAUACCACAGGAGCUGUGCUUCACUCGGAGUGACCAACCGAAGCUUAUGCCUGCCCACCCCAGGUGACCUUCCUGCUGCCCUUCAGGCAGAACUAUGGGCUCAGCCCCAACCUCUACCUCCCCCAGGUCAGCCAGUCCAUCAGACAUCUGAGGCUGUCUCCAGGCUGGACAGGAGGCUUGGGGUGAAUUGUCUCCAUAACCGCAAGACCCUCUCCAGCUGUGCCCUCCUGUGACUGAGAGUCUGAGAGCAGAGGCAGGAAGGAGUGGGUGACGUUGAUCAAGGCACUGGGCUCACACGGGCCGCGCCCCGCGUGAUCUGUUGUCUCCAGGCAGACUGCCUCACUUGGGGCGAUUCUUUGAUCCCGAUGGAAGCCUGGCCUGUAAGAGUUUUUGAUAGUGAAUCAGGAUAAAUCACAGAAACUCGUGUCUCAUAACCCCAGGGAAGCAGAGGCUGCAGGGCUUCCUAUAUGGCAAGCCAGGGACUGAAACUUACGAUUUGACUGGACAAUCUAUAAGGCUGAAACGGGACCUUCCUCUCCCGAGCUCCCAGCCCAGAUUGUGUUGUCUGACUGAGACAUGACACCUUGCAGCCACAACCAUCUUAACCUGCACAGAGGCUUCCUGAGACGAGGAAGUUGCUGUCCUGAGAGGUAGAGACCGGGGACUCAGAGGGUGACUGUCCUGAGACCUCUGUGAGCUGGCGCUGCAGUUGGGGCCAAGCCACAGGUGUUACCCAGCAGACCCCCACAGAGGGAGCCCUGUGAACAGGUCCUGACCCAUGAAAGCACCCACAUUGGGUCUGGCCUCCAGAGGGGACCAAAACCAAAUUCGCCGGAACUUUGCAAAUUCAGUGUGUCUGAGACGGGAUGCCAGGAAGCCAGCCAGACAAUGAUGCUAGCUGCAUUCCUGGCCUGGGAGCAGGGAGCCUGUCUGACCCCUGUGUCACACUGGAUGGUUUUACAGAGGUGCCCCACCUGAUGCUGGAUGGAAGUCAUCACCCUACAGUGUGGGUAUCAAGGGGGGAGCAAGGGGGCUAGGAAGCUCCAGAGGGAUUAGGUGGUCUCCAGUCACUCCCCUCUGUGUGAACCCUGCUGCUCUUCCACUCUGGAGCUGGAAAGCUGUCAGCUGCCACGCCAUGGUGCCAAGCACAUAGUAGGACUUCAAGCAUGUUUGCCCUGUACUUGUCUGCUCUUGACUGACUUCAAAGCCUUGUCCCCCAACUACCCACACGGCCACCUUACUCAACAGAAAUAUUCCUGUGAUAGAGACAGAAGGGCCCCGUCCUUUUAUGACAGGCCGCAAGGUCACCAUAUGACAAACAGGACACAUCUGCCACAACUGGGAGGUGGGGCUGCUUCCCAAAGGACCCUGUGCCAGGUCAGUCUCUGUGGUGACUUGGUUUCAGGGGAGGCUGCACUUGACAGCACCUCCCUUAAAGAGGAGGCGUCAAUACAGAUGUAGGCCCGAAGAUGCUGUUGCAGUGUAUGUAAUAACAAAAGCUGGCUGUGAUCGUAACAUUCAGGGACCGAGGAUAGGGAACCAGAGGCAGAUCACGGUCACAUAACAAGGCAGUAAAAAUGACAUUCAUGCAGAAUUUUAAUGAUGUAGGGGAACUGUGUGUGGUGUAAACGUGUGUAAAACUGAGGAUACGCAGUUAUAUGCAUGUAGAUAACUUCAACAAAGAGCAAUGAAGAAGCCCAACAGUGUGCCCUGCUCGAACUCCAUGGGAUUGAAGCACGGCCAGGAAGAAGACAGGAUGGGCUGGGAGAAAACAGGAGAGGUGGAGGAGAUGUCUGUCGGCAAAGUGCUCCCUGUGCAGGCCUGAGUUCAAUUCUCAGACCCCACACAGAAAAGCCAGGCGUGAUAGCAUGGGCUUGCAACUCCCGGCACAAAAGAGGUGGACAUGGAUGAAGAUGAGCCAGGGUCUCUGUACUGGCUGGUUUUGUGUGUCAACUUGACACAGGCUGGAGUUAUCACAGAGAAAGGAGCCUCAGUUGAGGAAAUGCCAUGAGAUCC
rnacentral:lncRNA from 1 species